rnacentral:rRNA from 1 species
GAUGAACGCUGGCGGCGUGCCUAAUACAUGCAAGUCGAGCGAACAGAUGAGGAGCUUGCUCCUCUGACGUUAGCGGCGGACGGGUGAGUAACACGUGGAUAACCUACCUAUAAGACUGGGAUAACUUCGGGAAACCGGAGCUAAUACCGGAUAAUAUAUUGAACCGCAUGGUUCAAUAGUGAAAGACGGUUUUGCUGUCACUUAUAGAUGGAUCCGCGCCGCAUUAGCUAGUUGGUAAGGUAACGGCUUACCAAGGCAACGAUGCGUAGCCGACCUGAGAGGGUGAUAGGCAACACUGGAACUGAGACACGGUCAAGACUCCUACGGGAGGCAGCAGUAGGGAAUCUUCCGCAAUGGGCGAAAGCCUGACGGAGCAACGCCGCGUGAGUGAUGAAGGUCUUCGGAUCGUAAAACUCUGUUAUUAGGGAAGAACAAAUGUGUAAGUAACUAUGCACGUCUUGACGGUACCUAAUCAGAAAGCCACGGCUAACUACGUG